rnacentral:rRNA from 1 species
GAUAAACGCUAGCGGCAGGCUUAACACAUGCAAGUCGAGGGGCAGCAUAGAUUGUAGCAAUACAAUUGGUGGCGACCGGCGCACGGGUGCGUAACGCGUAUGCAACCUACCCGUCACCGGGGGAUAAUCCGGAGAAAUCUGGUCUAAUACCCCAUAACAUAUGGAUCGGCAUCGGUUCAUGUUGAAGUUUUCGGAGGUGACGGAUGGGCAUGCGUAGCAUUAGCUUGUUGGUGAGGUAACGGCUCACCAAGGCGACGAUGCUUAGGGGGACUGAGAGGUUUUCCCCCCACACUGGUACUGAGACACGGACCAGACUCCUACGGGAGGCAGCAGUGAGGAUAUUGGUCAAUGGGCGCAAGCCUGAACCAGCCAUGCCGCGUGCAGGAUGACGGCUCUAUGAGUUGUAAACUGCUUUUGUACGAGGGUAAAGUGGGUUACGUGUAACCUUUUGAAAGUAUCGUACGAAUAAGGAUCGGCUAACUCCGUGCCAGCCGCCGCGGUAA